AAAACCAGUGCCUAACUAAGGGAGAGAGAGACAGAGUGUGCUGGUGUUUGUCUGGUUCUUCUCUUCAGGCAGAAAUAAGAAGGAAAGGAAUGAAAGUUGUUUGAGCUCUCGUUGGCCACACAGGCGAAGACUUGAAGGGAGUUGUUGCAGAAUGGCAGACAGACAGCACAUGCAAUCACUAAUUUAGCAAAAGUAAGAAGCACAUUAACAAGAGCAUGAACUUCUGAAGCUCUUCUGUUCUUUCCCUGGGGCAGAUAUCAUGGAAAUUGUACUGGAAUAUGAAAAUUCUCCACUCUCUUUUUAAUGGGAAAAUUAAAUUGUUUUAAAUCAA